ACAUGGCGUAGUAUUUUGUCAAAUGAGCAGGCUCCCCUCAGCAUUACACGUGAAGCCGUUAUGCGCCCCUGCCCGAGCCGGUGAGAAAUGUGUGGCUCGUUCCUUCCCAUUAAGAUUGGUUUUAUAGGCCCUCUUUUCUGUACCCGCUCAGGCCUCUCCUCUAGCUGCGCCCCAGUUUUCUCCUUUUACAUUUGAAAGAACUUGAACAGAAAGGUGGCUUGCAACAGACCAGGCCUUUUAUCAUAUGGAGGGCAGAAGAUCAUCCCACCAUGCUUUCCCAGAAUUGUAGUUUUCAGGGGCCUGAAGACAUGGACAUUAAUUCUGCAACUAUUCAGAAAUAAUCUUCUGUGGGAAUCUGAUUCUAGGACAUGAAGGGUCUAAGCAAGGAAAUUCUCAGCUACUGCCUUGUUCUGGGGCUAUCACAACUUCCACCGACACCACCAGAUGCUGCAUUUUGUUGUAGAACUAGGAAAGGUCUUUCCAACUUCUUCACAUAAGCUAGGCUACACACUGAAAUCUUCACAACUGCUUGUUUAUUAUUAAAAAAACACACACAGUUCUGGGCUGCCCAUAAGCCUUUGCUUCUCUGAAAGAAUCUGUCAGAUUUGUGCCUACUAUGUACCAUGGUUAAGGAAAAUCUAACUAUCUUUGAGCUACUCCUUCAUACUGAUGGAUCCAGACAAAAGAAAGGCAAAACAGUAAUGUGGGGUCUGUGCAAAUGGAUCUUUGGGGAAUGAAGGCUGGGAUAGCUCUCAGGCCUGAAGGAGACUGUGUCAUUGUGAAAGAUGCUGAGUUGUGGCUCACUGACAAGGUCCCCAAUUCUGAAAUUCUUCCGAGGUGAUUCAAAGGAAGAGGAUAAUUACCAGACUUAAUCACCAGGACCAAAGCCUACACCUGUAGUCACACAAAGGGUAAACUUGGAAACUGCAGCACUGAGAUGUCAAGCUUCAGAUUGUACUUUCCAGGAAAUAGCAGCAACUGUGUCUGUGGCUGUCUCCUUGGCAGAUUUCUUGUACACCCUAUUAUCUAGUUCCAUUUCUGGUUUUGCUUGUCGCUAAAGAGCUGUUUGUAGGGGCUGGUUCAUGAUCAGCCUGCUGUCGGGCUGUUCUGGAUGCAAUUAUUCUUUGAUUUACCACUGAACAUGUGGACUUCGCUCUUUUUUCCUACAUUUUAAAAUUAGGCCUUUCCGAAGUCUUAGUCACAUCUUUUUCAGACGAAAUAAAAGAUGUUUUGUUAAGUUUGAUUUAUAACAAAAUAUUCAUAAGGAAGCCAUCACACAUUAUAGAGGAUAUCCCUUGCAAAAUGAGGUUUUGUUAACCAUAGAUUACACUCAAAGCCUCCCCUGAAAAAAAACAAAAGGGACUCUGUCUGGGUAAACUGUUUAUUAAAAAAUAAAGGCCUGUUACUGCACCUACUGAAGUCAAUGGAAAAGCUUCCAUUUUCUCCAGUGAAACAGGAUCAGACCCUAAAUGUCUAUAAACAUUAGCUUUUGAGAUGACAACUCAAUUUCUCUUGAGAGAUUAUUGGUACUGUAAAUGAAAAACUUCAAAGCUAUCAAAAAUCGGCUCAGAUACAUAAUACACACAAAACAUCAUUUUGAAUUGUUCCAGAAUUUUUUAUAUUGAACGUGUAAUAGAGCAACUAUGAUACCUUAUGACACUUAAAAUAUGUUAAUAUUAACUAUCUCUGCUUAGAAAUUAUUAAAAUGAUUAUU